GCCUAAUAUAGCUCAGUCGGUAGAGCACGAAGCUCUUAAUAUCAGGAUGGUGGGUUCGAGCCCCACGUUGGCCA